GUGGGGAAUCUUCCGCAAUGGACGAAAGUCUGACGGAGCAACGCCGCGUGAGUGAUGAAGGUCUUCGGAUUGUAAAGCUCUGUUAAUCGGGACGAAAGAGCCUAGUGUGAAUAAUGCUAGGAAGUGACGGUACCGGAAUAGAAAGCCACGGCUAACUACGUGCCAGCAGCCGCGGUAAUACGUAGGUGGCAAGCGUUGUCCGGAAUUAUUGGGCGUAAAGCGCGCGCAGGCGGAUCUGCCAGUCUGUCUUAAAAGUUCGGGGCUUAACCCCGUGAUGGGAUGGAAACUACAGAUCUAGAGUAUCGGAGAGGAAAGUGGAAUUCCUAGUGUAGCAGUGAAAUGCGUAGAUAUUAGGAAGAACACCAGUGGCGAAGGCGACUUUCUGGACGAAAACUGACGCUGAGGCGCGAAAGCCAGGGGAGCGAACGGGAUUAGAAACCCGUGUAGUCC
rnacentral:rRNA from 1 species